AGUGGCGAACGGGUGAGUAAUGCAUCGGAACGUACCUUUCAGUGGGGGAUAACGUAGCGAAAGUUACGCUAAUACCGCAUAUUCUGUGAGCAGGAAAGCAGGGGAUCGCAAGACCUUGCGCUGAUUGAGCGGCCGAUAUCAGAUUAGCUAGUUGGUGAGGUAAAGGCUCACCAAGGCGACGAUCUGUAGCGGGUCUGAGAGGAUGAUCCGCCCCUGGAACUGAGCCCCGGUCCAGACUCCUACGGGAGGCAGCAGUGGGGAAUUUUGGACAAUGGGGGCAACCCUGAUCCAGCCAUGCCGCGUGAGUGAAGAAGGCCUUCGGGUUGUAAAGCUCUUUCGUCCGGGAAGAAAUCGCAUCAGCUAAUACCUGGUGGGAGACGGU
rnacentral:rRNA from 1 species